UCCCCUAGUAACUGCGAGUGAAGCGGGAAAAGCUCAAAUUUAAAAUCUGGCAGUCUUUCGGCUGUCCGAGUUGUAAUCUAGAGAAGUGUUAUCCGCGCUGGACCGUGUACAAGUCUCCUGGAAUGGAGCGUCAUAGAGGGUGAGAAUCCCGUCUUUGACACGGACUACCAGGGCUUUGUGAUGCGCUCUCAAAGAGUCGAGUUGUUUGGGAAUGCAGCUCAAAAUGGGUGGUAAAUUCCAUCUAAAGCUAAAUAUUGGCGAGAGACCGAUAGCGAACAAGUACCGUGAGGGAAAGAUGAAAAGAACUUUGGAAAGAGAGUUAAACAGUACGUGAAAUUGCUGAAAGGGAAACGCUUGAAGUCAGUCGCGUUGUCCAGGGAUCAACCUUGCUUUUGCUUGGUGCACUUUCUGGUUAACGGGUCAGCAUCAAUUUUGACUAUUGGAAAAAGGUUAAGGGAAUGUGGCAUCUUUGGAUGUGUUAUAGCCCUUGAUUGUAUACAAUAGUUGGGAUUGAGGAACUCAGCACGCCGCAAGGCCGGGUUUUUAACCACGUACGUGCUUAGGAUGCUGGCAUAAUGGCUUUAAUCGACCCGUCUUGAAACACGGACCAAGGAGUCUAACAUGCCUGCGAGUGUUUGGGUGGAAAACCCGAGCGCGUAAUGAAAGUGAAAGUUGAGAUCCCUGUCGUAGGGAGCAUCGACGCCCGGACCAGACCUUUUGUGACGGUUCCGCGGUAGAGCAUGUAUGUUGGGACCCGAAAGAUGGUGAACUAUGCCUGAAUAGGGUGAAGCCAGAGGAAACUCUGGUGGAGGCUCGUAGCGAUUCUGACGUGCAAAUCGAUCGUCAAAUUUGGGUAUAGGGGCGAAAGACUAAUC
rnacentral:rRNA from 1 species